UGGGGAAUAUUGCACAAUGGGCGCAAGCCUGAUGCAGCCAUGCCGCGUGUGUGAAGAAGGCCUUCGGGUUGUAAAGCACUUUCAGCGGGGAGGAAGGCGUUAAGGUUAAUAACCUUGGCGAUUGACGUUACCCGCAGAAGAAGCACCGGCUAACUCCGUGCCAGCAGCCGCGGUAAUACGGAGGGUGCAAGCGUUAAUCGGAAUUACUGGGCGUAAAGCGCACGCAGGCGGUCUGUCAAGUCGGAUGUGAAAUCCCCGGGCUCAACCUGGGAACUGCCUUCGAAACUGGCAGGCUAGAGUCUUGUAGAGGGGGGUAGAAUUCCAGGUGUAGCCGUGAAUUGCGUAGAGAUCUGGAGGAAUCCCGGUGGCGAAGGCGGCCCCCUGGACAAAGACUGACGCUCAGGUGCGAAAGCGUGGGGAGCAAACAGG
rnacentral:rRNA from 1 species